rnacentral:rRNA from 1 species
GAUGAACGCUAGCGAUAGGCUUAACACAUGCAAGUCGAGGGGCAGCAUGGUCUUAGCUUGCUAAGGCUGAUGGCGACCGGCGCACGGGUGCGUAACGCGUAUGCAACUUGCCUCACAGAGGGGGAUAACCCGUCGCAAGACGGACUACUACCGCGUACACCCUAUGUUGGGCAUCCAAUGUAGAGGAAAUGAAAUUCGCUGUGAGAUAGGCAUGCGUCCCAUUAGCUAGUUGGUGAGGUAACGGCUCACCAAGGCGACGAUGGGUAGGGGAACUGAGAGGUUGAACCCCCGCACUGGUACUGAGACACGGACCAGACUCCUACGGGAGGCAGCAGUGAGGAGUAUUAGGCGAUGGGCGAGGGCCUGAACCAGCCGAGUCGCGUGAAGGAGGACUGUCGUAUGGAUGGUAAACUUCUGUGGAACGGGAAUAACAAGAGUCACGUGUGGCUCACUGCAGGUACCGUAUGAAGAAGCAUCGGCUAACUCCGUG